rnacentral:lncRNA from 1 species
GUCUUGAUGACCUCUGUCCGUGCUUCUCUGGUCUUUGAGGUAUUUCUCACUUCCAGUUCCAGGAAGGGAACAGGUUUUAUUUCGACAAGAAAUGGAGAUGUUGGUAUGCAGAAGCAUCCUACCCUGCCGUGGGAUACUGCUGGGAAGGAGGCACUGGAGAUGGCUCUGAAAGAUCCAAAGCCUUUUGAAUGUCUCUGUACAAAUGUCAAUUAUGUGAUGAAAUGUGCCAACUCCUGGCAUCCUAAAACCUGUCCAUGCCCAGUUGAAGUCUCUCAUUUGCCUGUUAACAUGCUGCAGAAAUUGCAUCUUGACAACAUGACGUUGACUUAUAUCCUGUAUUUCCUGACCUGCCUGCCUGUGAAGUUAUCCAUGAACUUAACUUAAUAACUGAAUCCAGUGUGGAUUAGAGUAUUCUGGUAACACAUACUUAAGAAAAGAGAGAAUUUUCCAUUUUCCCCUGUAAAGCAAAUGUAAGGCAAUCCUUUUUUUUAACUGAAUAUGUCCUGUACAGAAAUGCAUUUAUAUAACAGUCUGAGUUGUGUCCUGCGCGUGGUAGAACUGGAGUCUUUUGGAUGCUUAUACCCUUUAAAUUUUGUUUGAGCAAUAAAUGCACAGCCAGAAAUUGUGUGACAAAUGCUUUGCCUCUUUUCCCUGUGUCAUGUACAAGCAAAUACAACACUCUGUGUCAGUUCUAUCAAACAUCAGCUGUCAGUGCAGAAUCAGAUACUUCCCUUUUCUUUCUGGUUUCUUCCUUUCAAACACUAGCCAGUGGUAGCAAUUUGGAGAGCUAGAAUUUGAGUUUUCU